CCCGCCCCGCCACCUCCUCGCUCAGACUGGAUCUUGUGCCGGUGAGGUGCGGGGGAGGGGUCACUACCAGGUCUCGGCCUUCGGGGCCACCUUCCCUCUCCCCCUGCUCCUGCAGAAACCAGAGCUGGGGGCGACGGUGCAGCCGGGCGCCAGCGUAUUUGUACGUGACUCUGUGUGAGAGACUCCAGAUAUCUGAACCUUGAGCCAAAAUACACCAAAGAAGAGAUUCUCCUCGCAUCCUCUACCUCCUGGAAGUUACAGAGCAAGCACUGUGGAGACUGUGCAAGCACUGUGGAGUGCUCCUGUGGUUACUAUAUUAUAGAUGGCCACAGGAACAGCCAGCCUGCAGACUCAGACAGCAGCUCCACCCCCAGCUCACGCCACCCUGACUGCAAAUAUGUAAUGGAAGCAAUAGCAUCUUAUUCAAAGAGUUGUUUGAAUGACACAAUAUAGUAAUCAUGUGAGCAAAGUAUUAUGUUCAUGAAGUCUCAGUUCUCACUAAGGAAGCCCCAGUCUUCCGGCUCUGUGCUGAGCGGAGGAGGCUAAACCUGCCAUUCUCAGCUCCCUGUGUCUCAGAGAUGCCCCUUCUCUUUUGUCAUGAGUUCCCAAACUUUAAUGUGCAAAUGCUCUUGGGUAAUGCAAUGAGAAAUUCAUUCUCUGGGACUCGUCCCCAGGCAAUGAAAACACACCUGUAAUACUCUCACCUGCCCUGGUGUCUCCCUUCACAGGUGGCCAGUGCUGAGGCCUCCAGGUCACUGUCUGCUGGCCAGAGCUUGGACUCUGCCUCUCCCCUGGAUUCCCUCAUUCAAGAUCAGGAAUAAAGGAAAGGACUUAGUGUGGACACAGAAACAUGCAGUUUGCCCAUUCAUUUGGCUGCUCUGUGGGUCCUACCCCUGGAGCCAAGAGGCCCCCACCAGGCUCCCCAUCAAGGCUGAGGCCAUAUCCCCACCCAUCUCAUGCACACACACCUGGUAACACCUUAAGCCAAGGAGCUUAAGCUCUCACAACUCUCUGGGAGGAAGGGAGAGACUUCUUUCUCUAUUUUAAGCAGAAAUGCUAGGCUGGCCCUCAGCCUCUGCAGCAUCUCCACUGGGCUGGGGAAGGUCCUUGCCCAUCUCAGGGGCAGGAACUCUAAGAAGUCCUUCCAGAGACUGCCCUGGUGGCACAGUGGAUAAGAAUCCGCCCGUCAAUGCAG